rnacentral:rRNA from 1 species
CACGAACGCUGGCGGCAGGCUUAACACAUGCAAGUCGAGCGCCCCGCAAGGGGAGCGGCAGACGGGUGAGUAACGCGUGGGAAUCUACCCAUCUCUACGGAAUAACGCAUGGAAACGUGCGCUAAUACCGUAUACGUCCUUCGGGAGAAAGAUUUAUCGGAGAUGGAUGAGCCCGCGUUGGAUUAGCUAGUUGGUGGGGUAAAGGCCUACCAAGGCGACGAUCCAUAGCCGGUCUGAGAGGAUGAUCAGCCACACUGGGACUGAGACACGGCCCAGACUCCUACGGGAGGCAGCAGUGGGGAAUAUUGGACAAUGGGCGCAAGCCUGAUCCAGCCAUGCCGCGUGAGUGAUGAAGGCCCUAGGGUUGUAAAGCUCUUUCACCGGUGAAGAUAAUGACGGUAACCGGAGAAGAAGCCCCGGCUAACUUCGUGCCAGCCGCCGCCGUAACAC